rnacentral:rRNA from 1 species
UACGGGAGGCAGCAGUGGGUAAUAUUCGCACAAUGGGCGCCAAAGCCUGAUGGCAGGCCAUGCCGCGUGUAUGAAGAAGGCCUUCGGGUUGUAAAGUACUUUCAGUCGUGAGGAAGGUGUUAAGGUUAAUAACCUUAGCAAUUGACGUUAGCGACAGAAGAAGCACCGGCUAACUCCGUGCCAGCAGCCGCGGUAAUACGGAGGGUGCGAGCGUUAAUCGGAAUUACUGGGCGUAAAGGGCACGCAGGCGGUUAAUUAAGUUGGAUGUGAAAUCCCCGGGCUUAACCUGGGAAUGGCAUUCAAGACUGGUUAGCUAGAGUCUUGUAGAGGGGGUAGAAUUCCAUGUGUAGCGGUGAAAUGCGUAGAGAUGUGGAGGAAUACCGGUGGCGAAGGCGGCCCCUGGACAAAGACUGACGCUCAUGUGCGAAAGCGUGGGGAGCAAACAGGGAUUAGAUACC